rnacentral:misc_RNA from 1 species
GAUGAAGAACGUAGCGAAAUGCGAUACGUAAUGUGAAUUGCAGAAUUCAGUGUAUCAUCGAAUCUUUGAACGCACAUUGCGCCUGCCAGCACUCUGGCAGGCAUGCCUGUUCGAGCGUCAUUUCAACCAUCAAGCCCUAGGCUUGCGUUGGAGCCCUGCGGCUGCCGCAGGCCCCUAAAAGCAGUGGCGGGCUCGCUAUCACACCGAGUGCAGUAGAUUACUCUUCGCUCAGGGCGUGUGGCGGGUUCCAGCCGUGAAACCCCCUACUUCUCAAGGUUGACCUCGGAUCAGGUAGGAAUACCCGCUGAACUUAAGCAUAUCAAUAAGCGGAGGA